UACGAAGGUCCCAAGCGUUAUCCGGAUUUAUUGGGUUUAAAGGGUGCGUAGGCGGCUUAUUAAGUCAGUGGUGAAAGCUCCGAGCUUAACUCGGAAACUGCCAUUGAUACUAUUGGUCUUGAAUUCGGUCGAGGUUGGCGGAAUGUGUCGUGUAGCGGUGAAAUGCUUAGAUAUGGCACAGAACACCGAUUGCGAAGGCAGCUAGCUAGACCGACAUUGACGCUGAGGCACGAAAGCGUGGGGAUCAAACAGG
rnacentral:rRNA from 1 species